rnacentral:rRNA from 1 species
GACGAACGCUGGCGGCGUGCUUAACACAUGCAAGUCGAACGGAAAGGCCUGCUUUCCCUUGUGGAUUGCGGGUACUCGAGUGGCGAACGGGUGAGUAACACGUGAGUGAUCUGCCCCCAACUUGGGUAUAAGCCUGGGCAACUGGGUCUAAUUCCCGAUAGGACUGCAGGGUGGUGCCUGUGGUGGAAAACGAUUUUCUAGUGGUUGGGGAUGAGCUGGCGGCCUAUCAGCUUGUUGGUGGGGUAAUGGUCUACCAAGGCGGCGACGGGUAGGCGGCCCGGGGGGGUGGGCGGGCACAUUGGAACGGAGAUACGGGCCAGAAGACUACGGGAGGCAGCAGUGGGGAAUAAGACACAAGGGGCGGAGGCCUAAGGCAGCGACGCCGCGGGGGGGAUGACGGCCUUCGGGUUGUGAACUCCUUUCGGCCGCGAGGAAUCCACCUGGUUGGAAGGGUGGUGACGGUAGUGGUAGAAGAAGCACCGGCUAACUACGUG